GAUGAACGCUGGCGGCGUGCCUAAUACAUGCAAGUCGAGCGAACGGACGAGAAGCUUGCUUCUCUGAUGUUAGCGGCGGACGGGUGAGUAACACGUGGAUAACCUACCUAUAAGACUGGGAUAACUUCGGGAAACCGGAGCUAAUACCGGAUAAUAUUUUGAACCGCAUGGUUCAAAAGUGAAAGACGGUCUUGCUGUCACUUAUAGAUGGAUCCGCGCUGCAUUAGCUAGUUGGUAAGGUAACGGCUUACCAAGGCAACGAUGCAUAGCCGACCUGAGAGGGUGAUCGGCCACACUGGAACUGAGACACGGUCCAGACUCCUACGGGAGGCAGCAGUAGGGAAUCUUCCGCAAUGGGCGAAAGCCUGACGGAGCAACGCCGCGUGAGUGAUGAAGGUCUUCGGAUCGUAAAACUCUGUUAUUAGGGAAGAACAUAUGUGUAAGUAACUGUGCACAUCUUGACGGUACCUAAUCAGAAAGCCACGGCUAACUACGUGCCAGCAGCCGCGGUAAUACGUAGGUGGCAAGCGUUAUCCGGAAUUAUUUGGGCGUAAGCGCGCGUAGCGGUUUUUUAGUCUGAUGUGAAAGCCCACGGCUCAACCGUGGAGGGUCAUUGGAAACUGGAAAACUUGAGUGCAGAAGAGGAAAGUGGAAUUCCAUGUGUAGCGGUGAAAUGCGCAGAGAUACGGAGGAACACCAGUGGCGAAGGCGACUUUCUGGUCUGUAACUGACGCUGAUGUGCGAAAGCGUGGGGAUCAAACAGGAUUAGAUACCCUGGUAGUCCACGCCGUAAACGAUGAGUGCUAAGUGUUAGGGGGUUUCCGCCCCUUAGUGCUGCAGCUAACGCAUUAAGCACUCCGCCUGGGGAGUACGACCGCAAGGUUGAAACUCAAAGGAAUUGACGGGGACCCGCACAAGCGGUGGAGCAUGUGGUUUAAUUCGAAGCAACGCGAAGAACCUUACCAAAUCUUGACAUCCUUUGACAACUCUAGAGAUAGAGCCUUCCCCUUCGGGGGACAAAGUGACAGGUGGUGCAUGGUUGUCGUCAGCUCGUGUCGUGAGAUGUUGGGUUAAGUCCCGCAACGAGCGCAACCCUUAAGCUUAGUUGCCAUCAUUAAGUUGGGCACUCUAAGUUGACUGCCGGUGACAAACCGGAGGAAGGUGGGGAUGACGUCAAAUCAUCAUGCCCCUUAUGAUUUGGGCUACACACGUGCUACAAUGGACAAUACAAAGGGCAGCGAAACCGCGAGGUCAAGCAAAUCCCAUAAAGUUGUUCUCAGUUCGGAUUGUAGUCUGCAACUCGACUACAUGAAGCUGGAAUCGCUAGUAAUCGUAGAUCAGCAUGCUACGGUGAAUACGUUCCCGGGUCU
rnacentral:rRNA from 1 species